rnacentral:lncRNA from 1 species
CAGGAGGAAUAUUAUUUUUUAACAAUAAUUACCAUUAAAAAUACCUGAGCCUGGGGGAACUGGGGCUGGGACGAAGCCGGAGUUCCUGAUCCACCGAGUCAGAAUCCUGCUCCAGGCCCCUCUGCUUUGCCCCAAAUCCCAACAUUUCACCCCAGAAUUCCCUUCUCCAGCCCCCUGGCCCCGUUUUUCCCGCAGCCAAGGGGCAGAGGGGUUGAAUUCCCAAGGAAUCCCUGGGAAAUCCCAGGUUUACUCUCCUCUUCCCUCCCUGCCUCUCCCAGAGCACCUGACAGCCACGCUCGAGGAGCGGGACAGGAGGAUCAGUGAGUGCCUUUUCCCUUUUCCCAACAAUCCCAACCCCUGGCUCGGGGUUUCCGUUCGUUUUGGGAUCCCUGGGAGGUUUUGGGGUUGCACCAACCUGAGGAAUUUGGGAUUUUGGGGCCCCUUUUCCCCGUUCCCUCGGUGGGUCCAGACCUGGAAAAGCUCCAAAUAAUGUGAAUUUUCAUUUUUUUUUGGUUUCAGGCAAACUGACCUCGGACCUGGGUGAAUCCAACUCCAAACUCAGUUAGUUCAACACAAAAUCCUCAUUUUAAAGGAAAUCUGGGGGAAAUGUCUCCAUUCCUGGCCCCACAGAACCGAAGGAAUUAUUUCAUAAUUCUCAUUUUCCUGCUUUUUUCCCCUUUCCUCCUCCUGUUCCCAGAGGAACGCGACCGGAAGAUCAGUGAGUGCCAUUUCCCUGCUGCUUUUGGGGCAAAAUCCCUCGUUUUGGGCAGCUGGAUCCUCCUCCAUCCCAUCCUGGGGAAAAACAGCAAAUAACUCAAUUUUCCCCCAAAUUUCACCCAGAUUUGUGCAUUUCCUGUGGGGGGAAAAAACCCCAAAUAUUUAAAAUUUUCGUUUUUCCUCUGCAGCCAAACUUGCUGCUGAAAUCCGUGAGUCCUGCUCCUCCACCUCACUUGAUGAUUUUGGGCUCAAACUCCUCGGUUUUGGGUCAGUUCAGUGGCUUUUCCUGGAUUAAUCUGUUUUUCCUCGUCCCACAGGAAGAUUCACGGCGCUGCUGGCCGAGCGCGACUCCGGGCUCCGGAAGCUGCAGGCAGAGCUGGGUGAGCGAUGAGGAGAAGUGGGAAAACGAGCCAGAACAGCGAUUUUUAUCGUUUUUUAUUUUUAUUUUAACUCUGGUUCUUGCCUGGAUUUUAAACUUCAAUUCCUUUUCCCUCAGCCAAGUGCGACGCCACCAUCCGUGA